AAAACAACAAAAUCUAAAUCGCCAUCGAAUGAAAAGCGCGCAGUCUCCCUUAGUGUCGGCUCGCUCCUUGGUUUAGUUGCUGCCUCGCGUCCAGGGACCUUGUUCGGACUGAGUCCCUAUAUUUCUAUUGGUCAGAUAACGCUUUUCCUUCUUAUUGCCGAGGGGUCGACCACAAAGGACUGGCUGCUGCUAACUACCUCUGAUGUUCGCUACAAAAGAAAUUCUCAAAGCUAAUUCUAAAUCAGCUGCGGGACAAUUUGCAUCAUUUUAAUAAAACACUUCUACUUGGAAGAAUAAUGUACCUUAACGAGCAAAAAUGGGUCAUCGUGGCACACCACAACUUAAUGUCGCAAAGAAUGUCAGCAGGAUAAUCAAGAAGAAAGAUCAAAGAUAAACGCAAAACAACUUAAACUCAGGAAACGGCACAUUUCAUACAUCUAGGUCUUGUAGUUAAUCUCAUGGUCUAAUCUUCAUGGCAGUUUAUCUUCAUCUCAACUAUUGGAAGAGUCCAAUCUGAACCAGCAACGAAAACGUAAUGAACCAAAAUAUGAAAACACAAACAGUCUGACAACGUUGAAGAGUUCUGCCGUUUUUUUUUCCCUGUUGGGUUUCCGAGUUAGAAUCACCGGCCUUCUGGGGAACCAUAAAUGGCAGCAACUCCCCAGCCUCUCCUCGGCAUUGCGCUUACCCCCUGAGCUGCGAUGCCUCUGGUAGCUGGAAGGCUAAAGAUAAAGCAUUCCAGAAAGCCUGUUCUCAAAAUCUUAGAACAGUUCUCGCGCGGAGUUUGCAGUAUCCCCCGGCACAUCAGCCGCGCCUACGACAGAGACACUCACUGCACAUAUACCGCGUACGGGGUUACCGCUGCAGUCCACUUUAAAUUAUCCUCUGCCCUGGGUUGAUUCACUUCUCGGAACUCCAGCGGCCUGCCGAAAGAUUUCCGCUAAUUCUUUCCAAGUGGCACACAAGGUGUGGAUAUUAGUACCGUCGAGUCAAUGGAGAAUGCCUAACCGGGAACAAGGCCAUUCUGAGCUGCCACAAGAAGGUUUGAACUCAUCUCUUUCUGCCGACAUUGCCGCGCCUUUGUCGAGGGAUUUACGAGACCAACGAUCAGGGAAUAUGUGCAGCAUAAAUAACCCCGUCCCGAGUGACGACCUUUUCCUUAAAGAAACGAACAAUUUUUACUAUAGUUUUCCAUGUGCUUUUUAUCAAGCGCUUGUACUUUAAAGAUAUGAUUUAAGAUCCCUAAAGUCUGCACGUUUGUUCGUUUACUGAGACGAGGAAGUUAUCAGCGAAAAAAAAGACUUGCAGCUCCGAUUGCAAAAGUGUUACUGAAAAUUGCCAAAAAGAAAUGCAUCUUGCAAUGAGACUUUUCUGAUUCAGAUUUGCUAAUACGUCUUGUUUGUUUGAUAAUUUUAGACAAGGACGUAUUGGUGUUGUUAUUGGUUUAUUAUUGUCGCUUGUACCGAGGUACAGUGAAAAGCUUGUCUUACAAACCGAUCGUACAGGUCAAUUCAUUACACAGUGCAGUUACAUCUUGUAUUUCGAUCAUCAUGAAUGUGUAUUUACAUUACUUUAUAUAAGAACGUUUUCAAUUGAGAUUAACAUGUACAUGUACACCGCCCCCUUUCCUGAAGUCAAUGACCAGCUCUUCUGUUUUUUUGACAUUGAGGGAAAAGUUGUCGUCAUGACACCAUUCCACUAAGCUCUCUAUCUCCUUCCUGUACUCCGACUCAUCGCUGUUUGAAAUACGGCUUACAACGGUGGUAUCAUCUGCAAACUUGUAGUUACGUGGUUGUAUUUCGAUCAUCAUAGCGAUUGAAUAGUGCCCCUCCUUCCCCCUAAUUUUUUUGUCAAGGAAAUGUUUUAAGAAUUGUGCCAUGUCACACAUGGAUUAUCAAUCCCUGUGCAGGCUUCCACGUUUGCCACGAGCAUUAUUGAAGUGGGAAAUGGUUAUAUUUUUCUCUAUGUCAUCCAAUGCGGCCACGCACGGAUUUUGUUGUAUUUGAAGUAGCGCAUCUGAAACUGCUUUGGGGUUGAUAAUUUCAUUGGUUGAUUGGAGCAUGGAGGGACAUCAUCAAUCCUCAACCAGUAAUAUUAACGAUAAUGGCUCAUAUUGGGGCACAAUAUGGAUCAGGUGAAACAAAACCACAAUGGCUCAUAUUGGGGCACAAUAUGGAUCAGGUGAAACAAAACCACUGGCUAUUGGAAUUUCUUUACGUUUCAGAAUACAGCUACAAUAAACGAUCUCAACAGUAAUAAAAUAGUGUGGUAUCAUACGACAUUCUUAAAACGUUAUUGAUCAUUCAUUUGAACAACAUAGCGGUACAUUGUAAUAAUUCAAAUCUUUCACGGGAGACGUUGCAAUGUAUGAACAGAUGCAUUUUUUUAACAGCAACUUUGUUGGCAGGGAGCAUCCGAAAAUCGAAUCUACAAAAGCUGCAAAGGAAGAGGA